rnacentral:rRNA from 1 species
AACGAACGCUGGCGGCAGGCCUAACACAUGCAAGUCGAACGCUCGUAGCAAUACGAGAGUGGCAGACGGGUGAGUAACACGUGGGAACCUUCCCUAUGGUUCGGAAUAGCCCAGGGAAACUUGGGGUAAUACCGGAUAAGCCCUUCGGGGAAGGAUUAUCGCCAUUGGAUGGGCCCGGCCGUCGGAUUAGUCUAGUUGGUGGGGUAACGGGCCCGACCAAGGCGACGAUCCGUAGCUGGUCUGAGAGGANGAUCAGCCACACUGGGACUGAGACACGGCCCAGACUCCUACGGGAGGCAGCAGUGGGGAAUUGUUCGCAAUGGGCGGCAAGCCUGACGACGCAACGCCGCGUGGAGGAUGAAGGUCUUCGGAUUGUAAACUCCUGUUGCUCGGGACGAAAUGCUCCAGCCUAACACGUU